AUCCGGCUGACGAAUCCCAAAUAGGACGAAAUGCACAUCUUGACUGUAU
rnacentral:hammerhead_ribozyme from 1 species